AUAACCACAACGCACCGAAGCUAAUGUGAUAAAAAAGAAAAAGAAAAAAAGAGCAAUAUGAAGUUUUUAGGUGUGUCCGUUAUGCUUCUACUUCUACUUCUCAUAUGUGAAGGUAUUUUUUUUUUUCUCAAUAUAUUCGUAACACGUUUCUAUUUGAAAAUAGUCUUUCUUCAAAUAAUAUCAUCCAUUUUGUAAUUUAUUUUUCUUGUACGACAUGUUUUGAUAGGUGAUGCAAUGACAAAGGAGUCCAUGGCAUCAAGAGGUUAGAUGAGACACUGUUAAAUACUACUUAAUAAACAUGUUAAUAGUAUUUUUCAUUAAUCCAUGUAAUUGCAAGAGGUUUAGUUUGAAGUUUUGUUAGUCUUUGCAGGUGAAGGAGAAGUUAAAGUCCGAACAUGUACUAAGGAUAUUGAUGUUUCUGAACCUUGUGAUGAAAUAGCAUGCGAGAACACUUGCACGAAACUAAAUAUACGGCAUGUAUCUGGAAGUUGCACAUUCUCUGAUACUUGCACGUGCCAAUAUCCAUGUUAAUUAUGUUCAAAAUAGUGAAAUUGAGUUUCAAUGAGACUAGUUAUAUGUAUCUCAUUCGGCUCGAAUAAAUGUUAAGUAUUCGCUAUUUCAAUGGAUC
rnacentral:lncRNA from 1 species